AUUGAACGCUGGCGGAAUGCUUUACACAUGCAAGUCGAACGGUAGCGGGGGCAACCCCUCGAGAGUGGCGCACGGGUGAGUAAUAUAUCGGAACGUGCCCCCACGUGGGGGAUAACGUAGCGAAAGAUACGCUAAUACAGCAUACGAUCUAAGGAUGAAAGAGUGGGAGAGCAAGACCUCGCGCGACUGGCGUGCCCGAUAUCAGAUUAGGUAGUUGGUGGGGUAAAGGCUCACCAAGCCAACGAUCUGUAGCUGGUCUGAGAGGACGAUCAGCCACACUGGAACUGAGACACGGUCCAGACUCCUACGGGAGGCAGCAGUGGGGAAUUUUGGAUAAUGGACGCAAGUCUGAUCCAGCCAUGCCGCGUGCAGGAUGAAGGCCCUCGGGUUGUAAACUGCUUUUGUACGGAACGAAAAGGUCUCUCUUAAUACGGGGGGCUCAUGACGGUACCGUAAGAAUAAGCACCGGCUAACUACGUGCCAGCAGCCGCUGUAA
rnacentral:rRNA from 1 species